CACCAGCCGACAGCUCGUGCCUCUACAACCAUGCCUCAACCCUGCUGUGGACCGAACCAGGGCUGCAAUUGCGCGCCGGGCUGCAAGUGUGAUAGUUGCUCCUGCGCCUGCGACAAGAAGUGAACAAGUUGACCCUUCCGCGCCUGGAAAAGAAACAAUGCUGUCCGUCGAACUCCUUUCCCGUCCUUAUUCGUUUUAAGA